GAUGAACGCUGGCGGCGUGCCUAAUACAUGCCAGUCGAGCGAACGGACGAUAAGCUUGCUUCUUUGAUGUUUGCGGCGGACGGGUGAGUAACACGUGUAUAACCUACCUAUAUGACUGGGAUCACUUCGGGAAACCGGAGCUAAUACCGGAUAAUAUUUUGAACCGCAUGGUUCAAAAGUGAAAGACGGCCUUGCGGUCACUUAUCGAGGGUUCCGCGCUGCAUUAGCUAGUUGGUAAGGUAACGGCUUACCAAGGCAACGAUGCAUAGCCGACCUGAGAGGGUGAUCGGCCACACUGGAACUUGGACACGGUCCAGACUCCUACGGGAGGCAGCAGUAGGGAAUCUUCCGCAAUGGGCGAAAGCCUGACGGAGCAACGCCGAGUGUGUGAUGAAGGUCUUCGGAUCGUAAAACUCUGUUAUUAGGGAAGAACAGAUGUGUAAGUAACUGUGCACAGCUUGACGGUACCUAAUCAGAAAGCCACGGCUAACUACGUG
rnacentral:rRNA from 1 species